UGCAUAUCAAUAAGCGGAGGAAAAGAAACCAACAGGGAUUGCCUCAGUAACGGCGAGUGAAGCGGCAAAAGCUCAAAUUUGAAAUCUGGUUCGCCCGAGUUGUAAUUUGAAGAGGUUGUUUUGGAAGCGGCUCUUGUCUAUGUUCCUUGGAACAGGACGUCACAGAGGGUGAGAAUCCCGUGCGAUGAGAUGCCCGCUUCUAUGUAAAACGUCCUCGACGAGUCGAGUUGUUUGGGAAUGCAGCUCUAAGUGGGUGGUAAAUUCCAUCUAAAGCUAAAUAUUGGCGAGAGACCGAUAGCGAACAAGUACAGUGAUGGAAAGAUGAAAAGAACUUUGAAAAGAGAGUGAAAAAGAAUGUGAAAUUGUUGAAAGGGAAGGACUUGAGAUCAGACUUGGAGGAUUUAUCCUUCUGGGCCAGCAUCAGCUCGAGGGGCGGGAGAAUGGCGCAGGAAAGUAGCUCAUUGAGUGUUAUAGCCUGCGCUGAUGCCGCCACUUUGGGCUGAGGACUGCGAAACAAGGA
rnacentral:rRNA from 1 species